CGACCGCUGGCGGCGUGCUUACCACAUGCAAGUCGAACGGUGAAGCGCCUUCCUUUUUGGUGGGUGUGGAUGAGUGGCGAACGGGUGAGUAACACGUGAGUAACCUGCCCCCUUCUUCUGGAUAACCGCAUGAAAGUGUGGCUAAUACGGGAUAUUCUGGGUCUGUCGCAUGAUGGGUCUGGGAAAGAUAUUGUUUCGGUGGGGGAUGGGCUCGCGGCCUAUCAGCUUGUUGGUGGGGUGAUGGCCUACCAAGGCGGUGACGGGUAGCCGGCCUGAGAGGGUGGACGGUCACACUGGGACUGAGACACGGCCCAGACUCCUACGGGAGGCAGCAGUGGGGAAUAUUGCACAAUGGGCGCAAGCCUGAUGCAGCGACGCCGCGUGAGGGAUGGAGGCCUUCGGGUUGUGAACCUCUUUCGCCAGUGAAGCAGGCCUGCCUCGUUUGUGGGUGGGUUGACGGUAGCUGGAUAAGAAGCGCCGGCUAACUACGUG
rnacentral:rRNA from 1 species